UACCUAACCCCUGGGUAGAUGGUUCUGAGGUAUACAAGAAAGCAGGCUGAGCAAGCCAUGAGGAGCAAGCCAGUCAGCAUCGCCCCUCCAUGGCCUCUGCUUCGGUUCCUGCCUUCAGGCUGCUGUGCUUGGUGCUUACCACAGCCACAGAAACUAACCAGGACCCAGCCCUUACCAGGGCUGUGCACAGAUGGGGCAAGGAGGAAUCUAUUCUGAGAACGGUAAAUGAAGAUGCCAAAGGCUGGGGCGAGGCUUUGCCCAGAGGAGAGCCUUGUCCACCUAGAGGAGAAACGAAUGUCAACAAGAUGCUGCCUGCUGGUUUUCAGGAAGGCUGGCAAAAGUAGACACAGAGGGUCACAAAAACCAAUACAUAUCCCCUUUGACCCUUUCCACCACUUUCUGGGGGGUCUGUGCUACCAGACGUUCUUAAAAGAGAUGUGGUCACAAGGUGAGUCCUCACAGCUUCACUGGCAAGGGCUAGAAGUUGGAAACAAACCCAGAUGUCCAUCAAGAAAAGCUAAGUUAAACAAAGCAUUGAAGCAGCUGGGCAACAAACUCCGAUACAGCUAUGAGAAGGAAUGAGGAAGCGACCUGGUGCUGAUGCGAGCAGAGUUCCAGGAUGUUUUGUGCUUUGGAUGGUGGGAAGUCCACACGAAGGAACACACCAGUCUCAUAGGGAAAUGUCCAACACAGACAGGUCCAGAGAGACAAGCGAGUGCCUGCCAGGGUCUGGAAGGAUGGGAAUGCUGAGAAGGACAGCCCGAGCAGAAGCCGCAGAGCGAGAGGCGGCAGCCAGUGGAGUCCCAGGCAAAAGUGCUCAUUCGGCCUGCAAGUUCCUGAGGUACCCGGUGCUGAAGAAAGGUCCUCAAACACGUGUCAGCCUUCCUGCCCACCCUUCCUGACCAUUCAAAGAGCCAAUCACACACUGACUUUUAUCCCAAAGUAGGAACUUCUGCUUCUAUGCCAUGAUUCUCUGAUAUCUCCUGGAGGGAAAGUCCAAACCUAGUGGGUCUUCCCAUGCCAAGUUGUGUCUAACAUUAUGUUCAGAAACGAGUGUGUGAAUGAGGAAAAGAAGCCACUGUCAGGAAGUCACUGCUCGGCAUCCAGUUCUUCUGUGAAAGGUAAAAAUGAUGACCCUCCCCCCGCCACGCACUCGACAAUGCUUCCCCAACGUGAGCAAACAGACGAAUUCUCCGGGAAGUUGAGUAAGUAAGCAUGGUAGUUUCUAGCUUGGCUAACUUUCAGUGCACCUUGGUAAUGGACAUUUCCAAAAAAAUGUCAGUGUGGUCCCACUGCUGGCGAGCCAAGAAGCACAUGUGGAAAAAGCCUGCCCUGGCCACGGCCAUCAACACUGAUCAGCUACGGGAUUAGUGACAAGUAAUUCACAUCCUUAGAAGACUCCUGGAUCAUCUUCAGUGAUGAAGCCCUAGGUGGUGUAGGUGCUAGUCAGAAACAUGGCCACCGUUCACACCCUGAACUCAUGGAGGUCAGUUCCAGUUGAUGCUGGCCCCAAGGAAAGGUUAAGAAAGAGAAAGAAACAGAGGCCAGACAGCACCCCAGUACGGAGAGCUGACUUGAAGAAGAAAGCAGACCAGAUUCUCACAGGAAACUGGAGCCCGCUCUGUGUUGGGAUGGCUUGUGAGACACUAGCACCUGAAGAAGUGACAGUGUCACUUUCCAGACACCCCCGUGCUGCACAGUCUCCCCUGCCUCUGUGCCUUCAGAUACUUCCCCAGAGAGGAGGUGUCUACUGUCCAUAGAGUCUCACAGUGGGAGGUGCUCCCUUGAUAAAAAGAUCUCCGACCAUGGCACCCAAGGAGGUUCCAGGUACCUGCAAGUGGGAAGAUUUUCUAAAGCUGGUUUUUCAGUCUCAAAGGAGAGAGCAAAUAAUGGAAUGUCACCUCCGUGUUCCCCGUGUGAUCUUCAGAAGAUGAUGAAACAAGAUCGAGCCAGGCACAGGAAUCAAAUGGUGCCUUGUGAUCUCCUUCAGGGGAGGGAUCUGAGGACCACGAUGUCAUGGAGGAUGGAGCUGGAAUGGUAGCUAGACGGGGAGGGGGAGGACGGGAAGCCAGUUCUAGGAAGAUGCAACUGGAAAGGAUGAACAACGCACUGGGGCUUCGGCACCCAGCGAAGCCACCAUCACAUCAAAGGCGCCAAACACCUGGGAGAGAUGAUUUCAUCCGAAAGAAAUGAUAACUGUAUGGUGAAUAAGUGAAAGACCCUAGUUUGAUUAUUAUAUAAUAUAACCAUGUAUCAAAACCUCACACUGAACCCAUAAAAUAGGUACAAUUAUGUAUUUUUAAGAAGUGGGACCUCAGCAUUACUGGGACUGGCCCUCGUGUGCGUCAUAGAAGCUCAUUUGCCAGUCUGCUGUUGAGUCAGAUUUCCAGGUUGCAUCCCCGGGCCUGCCCUCCAACUCCGCCAGCCUCUGAGACCAAGCCUAGAACUUCUAGGGGCCACUAAUGAUCAAGGAACCUAAAACACAGUAUUUUGUAAGAAGCAUCCUCGAGGGGUGGAGGGGUGGAGGGGUGGAGCACAGCCCUCAGCUGUGAGUGGCCAGCUGCAGAGCAGGGAUGGGGUCACCCAGCCUCUUAGGCUUUCCUCAUCUCUAGGACUUUUUAAAGUUUCUCAGUUGAAGAAAUUUAGGCUAGUGGUUGAGGCGACAACCAUCAACAUAAUGGACGUUUCCUCGGCCCUUCCUCUUCGGAGCCUGUUUUCAAGAGAUGGCUUUCUCUUCAGAUUUGUGGUCACCUUUAAUGGUGGCUCCCUAUCUAGAAGAUAAGACAGAACACAGCUCAGACAGGGACAGGAGAAAUAUGGCUUGUGCCUUGCUCGGUUCGUCACGUGUCUUCUCGGCUGGAGGAAGUGACUCAGGCUGAAUUGAUUGUCAGCUUGUCAUGGAAGCACACCUCCGGGCACGCCUGUGCGGACUGGUCGCCGUCCGGUGGACUGGGGUCCUGAACUCACUAAAACGCUGAACGCCAGCAUCCAGCUCCUGCUUUGUGUCCUGACUCCAGAGGCGGCAGGGCCAGCUGCCAUGUAUCUGUCUCCAUGACUUCCCUGUGCAUUCAGGCCGGGAGCCAAAGUAAAUCCUUGCCCCUCAGUGACUUCUGUCAAAUAUUUGUCACAGCAAUGAGGCAGUGACUAACAGAGACAGUAUGCAUUUCUGUGCUUGGGCACUGUUCUCAAAUAUUAUCCCUGGGGCUGAGCCCAUCAGUCCGAGUCAGGGCUGAGCGCUGAAGAGCUUGAGAAGACAUGGAGGUGAUGCCAUGCAAUUCCUACAUUUGGUGGGAGAAGGACAGUGGGGCUCAGGAGGGGCCAGCUGUGGCUAUACCGGACGUCAGGUGUCCCCCCACUCGUGUGUUUGGACAGUUGGUCCUCAGUUGCUGGUAUUGUUCUGCACCCCCUCAGGCACGAGGAUUGAAAGGCAGAUGUAAAGCCCCCGAGUAGCACCUGAGGGUUUCAGGCCGGCUCCACUACUCGUAGGAGCUGUUUCCUAACUACCACAGCAAAGUAAUACACUGACUUGUGUUUCCACUGCUGCAGCCCGGAGCGUCUCCAGGCCCCAGUGACGGGUUGCAGUACUGCUGAGAGCAUGCCCCUGACAAACCCUUCCUCCUCCGGUUGUCCCGCGGUUGUCCGAGCCAUAGAGGAACUAGUACAGCUCUUUCCCACAGGCACCCAAGCCGAACUCUGCUUGGACUUUGUCCUGGGGACUCCGUAACGAAUGUGGAGUCAGUGGGUGGCGCUUCAGUCAUCCGAAAUGUGUAACCUUCUCACUGACCCGGAGGCUGGACUUUGAAUUCCUGUAUCAGCAGAGCCGAGCUCCCAGGGAGCAUUCUGGGAAAGGAUGCUUCCUUGCCUCUUCCAGCUGUUGGUGGGGGCAGCCUUCCUCAGAGUUCCCAGCCUUUCUACUGUGUCCCUCCAGCUUCUCACCCCACCUGCACAUGGUCCCUUCCCUGUGUGUGUCUGUGUAGUGUCUCUUCUUACGAUGGCAUCAGUGACACUGGAUUUAGAGAUCAGCUUCACCAACAGGACCUCGUGGGAAUUUAAAUAAUUUCAUCUACAAAGAUCCUCUUUUGAAAUAAGGUCACAUUCCGCUGCUCUAAAUCACUGCAAAUUUUGAGAGAACACUUUAUAACACAUUACGUAAGGAUGUGUGCCUGCAUGUGUGUGUGUGUGUGUGCAUGAGUAUGCAUGCACUCAGAGCUAACCACAGCCACCUGCAUCACCUGCAGCUCCCCCAGCAAUGCUCCUCACCACUAUACCAUAUGAUGCUAGAAUCCAGGACUCAGACGUCAGAGUUGAACGAUAGAUAACCUCAGGGGGCACCUAGCCAAUGGCUGAUGAUGAGCCCGGCUCCCAGCUACAUGGGAGACAUUGCCUCAUCCACCCUUGCCUAUGAGGGGAAAGAGAGUGGGGUAGGGUGG